GACGAACGCUGGCGGCGUGCUUAACACAUGCAAGUCGAACGAAGAGCGAUGGAAGCUUGCUUCUAUCAAUCUUAGUGGCGAACGGGUGAGUAACGCGUAAUCAACCUGCCCUUCAGAGGGGGACAACAGUUGGAAACGACUGCUAAUACCGCAUACGAUCUAAUCUCGGCAUCGAGGAUAGAUGAAAGGUGGCCUCUAUGUAUAAGCUAUCACUGAAGGAGGGGAUUGCGUCUGAUUAGCUAGUUGGAGGGGUAACGGCCCACCAAGGCGAUGAUCAGUAGCCGGUCUGAGAGGAUGAACGGCCACAUUGGGACUAAGACACGGCCCAGACUCCUACGGGAGGCAGCAGUGGGGAAUCUUCCGCAAUGGACGAAAGUCUGACGGAGCAACGCCGCGUGAGUGAUGACGGCCUUCGGGUUGUAAAGCUCUGUUAAUCGGGACGAAAGGCCUUCUUGCGAAUAGUGAGAAGGAUUGACGGUACCGGAAUAGAAAGCCACGGCUAACUACGUG
rnacentral:rRNA from 1 species